CCAUGGUGUUCAACAGGGCUCUGUGCUCGGCCAAAUUUUAUUCUCAUUAUAUAUGCUUCCACUAGGAAACAUUAUCAGGACACACUCGGUAAAUUUCCACAGCUAUGCGGACGACACCCAGUUAUACUUGUCAAUAAAACCUGAACAAAGUAAUUAAUUAACUAAACUUGGAACAUGUCUCAAGGACAUAAAAACCUGGAUGACCCGCAAUUUUCUCUUAUUAAACUCAGAUAAAACAGAGGUUAUAAUACUUGGCCCUAAACACCUUUUAGAGAUACAUUAUCUCAUGAUAUAGCCGGCUAGACGACAUUACCCUUGCUUCCAAUGAAACAGUCAGGAACUUGGGAGUGAUCUUCGAUCCUGAUUUAUCCUUUAAUAGUCACUUAAAACAAAUUUCUAGGACUUCCUAGUCUUGCGUAAUAUUUCAAAAAUUAGACUUUUCCUUUCAGAAAAAGAUGCAGAAAAACUAGUCCACGCCUUUGUUACAUCGAGACUGGACUAUUGUAAUUCAUUAUCAGGCUCCAGCAGUAAGUCAUUAAAGACUCUACAGCUUGUCCAAAAUGCCGCAGCACGUGUCCUGACAAGAACCAAGAAAAGAGCACAUUUCUCCAGUAUUAGCAUCGCUACCCUGGCUUCCAGUUAAAUCUAGAAUAGAAUUUACAAUUCUCCUCCUCACCUUCAAGGCCCUUAAUAAUAUAGCGCCUUUUUACCUUAAAGAGCUGUUAGUACCUCAUAAACCCACUAGAGCACUGCGCUCCCAGAAUUCAGACCUACUUAUCGUCCCUAAAGUCUCUGAAAGUGGAGUAGGAGCCAGAGCUUUCAGCCAUCAAGCCCCUCGGCUGUGGAAUAAUCUACCACUUUCAGUUCGGGGGGAAGACACUAUCUGUUCGUUUAAGAGUAGGCUCAUAACCUUCCUUUUUGAUAAAGCUUUUAGUUAGAGCUAAUUAGUGCGGCAGAACAUAACAUGUUCUAUUUUAUGACACACGGAGCUUCUCUUUCCAGCUUCUCCUUCCUCUUCUCCAUCCCUAUCCCUCUUCCCUGGAAUCCCUUUGCUUUAUCACCUGCAGAUCCAGGGCCUCUGUUGCCGCACCAUGGAUUGCGGUUUUUGGAUCGCGCACCGGGGGUCGCGGUGGUGGAUCCAGAGUGGCGGAUUCUGUGUCAUGUGGGCUGAUCGUGGUGCUGGUGGAGGACCCUGUGUCGCGUUGGCAUUGGGUACAGGCGGUGGACCAGGACCGCGGUGGUGGCUCCUAAUGGGUCCUGGUGGGCGGCGGUGGACAGUGACUGAGGACUGGAGUGGUGUCUGGUCUGGAUGGUGGAUCGUGGUCCGGCCGGUUGCUGACCAUGAACUAUGGAGCCAGCAAGAAAGAAGAUUUUCUCCUGUCUAGGAACAAUUUGACCUGAUCUCUCCUGAUAAGGUGAAGUGUCUGUUGUGUUCAAAAGAACUUGGAUACAACAACACCUCAUCUAUGCUGAGGCAUUAUAGAGCCCUGCAUGAGCACAUGGAGACCAACCGAGGUCGACCAAGC